GCGUAAGUAUAACUUUUCCUUUGACUUCAUUUCUUGAGUUUCCCCUAUAUAUCUUUUUAUUAUUCUUCUACUUGUGUAUGUGCGCGAUUGUGUGUGUAUGUAAAUUUGAGCUUGCCCCACCAUCACCACCACGGCUUGACAUCUUUUGUUGGUUUGUUUACAUCUUCAUAACUUGGUGGUCCAGCAAAAGGGUCCGAUGGCAUCAGUGUCAAGCCGAAAACAAAUGCUAGGGUCAGAUUUGUUCGAGUAGUCUUGCCACUGUGACGAGUAAAGUGAGAGACUGUUAGUUGAAUGAGAAAGAGUUUUUGAUUUGGAAUAUGGUAAUUACCCCAUAUUUUUCCUAAUAUAAACUUUAAUUAAUUAUAAUACUUGAUUAUUAACAGUCUUUGUAUGCUUUUCAAGAGCUAAAAUUUGUUUCAACGCUGCAAUUGAUUUAGCUUCAACACAGUCUCAGGUGAAGACACUUGUAAGACAAGAGCAACUCCAAAAUUUGCCGAGUGUCUUCCCGACUCCUAGGGCAAAGAAACUCAUAGUAUACAUUGGUAGGCCAUUAAACUAAACUCAAUAGUUCGUUCAUUUUUUUUUAUUUAAGUUAAAUUAAAAUACAUGCGUAGUAAUAGUUCUCACAUUGACAAUGCUCUUCUCAAUACGUGUGAUGUACCAGUUAAGACAAUCUUUUGCACUUCUUGCAGGGAUGGUAAGCCAGGGAUCAUUCUCAUAUAAUUUUCGCUUCCCUUCUUGAUCAUUCCUAGUGCUCCUACGAUCACUGGUAUUGUAACCGCCUUGAGAUGCCACAUUUUCUCAAUUUCAAUGAGCAGGUCUUUAUAUUUUCUGAGCUUGUCAAACUCUUUCGCCGAGAUAUUAUGAUCACAGGGGAUGUUCAUGUCGAUCAAUAAGCAAACUUUAUUGUUUUUGUCUUUCACAACAAUAUCUGGUAUUUUGGCUUUGAUGGUUCGGUCUGUAUGUACUGGAAAGUCCCACAGAAUCGUUACAUUUUCUCCUUCAGUUACAGCUUCAGGGUGGUGAUUAUACCACUUGUUGGCAGUUUUGAUAUUGUAAUGCCAACUUAUUAGCCAGUGUAGAUAUUGGCCAACUCUGUCAUGUCUUAAUUUAUACUCCACUGGUGCUAAGACUUUACAUCCAGAGAUUAGGUGGUCCCCUUUUUCAAUCAUGUCGUUGAAGAAUCGGCAUUUUGGGUCUGCUCCAUUUUUCAUCACAUUGGCCUGGUAGUUCCAGGUUAAUAGGCUUUGAUCUUGAGCAGCCAGGAUGAAACCUUCGCUCUCUGCUUUUAGCCCUGAGCCCCGUAGCCACUGAUGGGUUUGCUCCUGGUCAACAUCAGCUUGUUUGCUACGGGCCACAUAUUUGCCGUGCAGAGGUUUCUCCCCCCACCUAUCAGCCAAUUGAUCGUGCGCUUUUUUCGUUGCCAUUAUUUUCACCUUCUUUGCAACAAUAGUUGCCGUACUUCCCUCGGGUUGUUCAGUUUGGGUAUCCUGCACGAGAUCAAUAGCAAAUUUUUUGCUUUCCUUUAUGAUAGAAUGAAGCUUCUUUCGUCUCUCGUGAUUUUCCACGAGCUUUAGCAUCCAGUCAUUCGUUAUUUCAAGAUAUUUGGCCAGUCCAAUUGUGGUUGUUUUGUAAGCUGGUUCAAAUUGGAUCAGGCCUCGACCUCCUUGGGCUCUGGGAAGGUAAAGGCGAUCUACGUCUGCCUUUGGGUGGUGCAUCCUAGUACAACUCAGCAGCUUGCGUAUUUUCCUAUCUAUAUUCUUUACUUCACUCAUAUUCCAGUUCAACACAUUGUAGCUAUAAGUAACAACUGGAACUGCUAAGGAAUUUAUAGCUAACACCUUGUUACGUGCAUUUAGUUCAGAUUUCAGGACUGCACAAACUCUCCUAUAACAUUCCUUCCUGAUCUUCUCUUUCAUGCUUGCAUGCUGAAUACCAGAGCCUUCAUUUAUCCCUAAAUAUUUGUAUGUUUGUUCUUGCUCAAGCUCUCUUAUGACUGUGUCAACAUCUAACACGACUGAAUUUGUGGUCUUCACUUUCCCUUUCUGGAAAGUGGCCUUGGCACACUUCUCAAGCCUAAACUCCAUCCCGAUAUCAUCGCUGAAUGCUUUCACAGUGCGCAAUAGGCCUUCAAGUUCAUUAUCGUCUUUACCAUAGAGUUUUAAGUCAUCCAUAUAAAAUAGAUGGCUUAUCAUUAUUAUUAUUAUCAUCAUCGUCAUCAUCAUCAUCAUCAUCGUCAUCAUCAUCAUCAUCAUUAUUAUUAUUAUUAUCAUUAUUAUUAUUAUUAUUAUUAUUAUUAUUAUUAUUAUUAUUAUUGUUUUUUUUUCUUCUUCUUUCAAAUUUGCUUCCAUUUCUUGCCGAGCGUCUUCCCGACUCCUAGGGCAAAGAAACUCAUAGUAUACAUUGGUAGGCCAUCAAACCAAACUCAAUAGUUCGUUCAUUUUUUUAAGGUUAAAUUAAAAUAUUAUUGUUAUUAUUAUUAUUAUUAUUAUUAUUAUUAUUAUUAUUAUUAUUAUUAUUAUUAUUAUUAUCAUUAUUAUUAUCCUCAUCAUUAUUAUUCUCGUUACCAGUUGCUAUUAGCAGCCUGUUGCUGUCAUACAAAUCCAUCAGUAAAUAGUAGUUUGGGAAAUGUAUUCAAAUUAUCGGAUGAUGUAGGACCUUUGUAAGUAUUGAAUAUAUUUCAAUGACAACUUCUUUUUAUCUCCUUAUCUUCUUCCUCUCUCUCUCUCUCUCUCUCUCUCUCUCUCUCUCUCUCUCCCUCAUAUGCAUAUAUAUAUAUAUAUAUAUAUAUAUAUAUAUAUAUAUAUAUUAUAUUAAAUGAGAGACAAAACCACUAUUAGGCAAAUCAUACAAUGAAAAACUUAAGCCAAUACAUAAGAUUAUUUGAUUUAUAUUAUUUAAAUAUAUAACAAAAUUAUUAAAAAAAUAUAAAUAAUAAUAUUAAUUAUAUUUUUUUAAUAAUUUUGUUAUAUAUUUAAAUAAUAUAAAUUAAAUAAUCUUAUGUAUUGGCUUAAGGUUUUCAUUGUAUGAUUUGCCUAAUAGUGGUUUUGUCUCUAAUUUAAUAUAAUAUAAUAUUUUAGCAUAAAAUUGGAUUCAAUCCUAAAUCUGAUUUUUCCCUGUAAGUUUGGAUUUAUUCCCUAAUAUUUAUUAUAUAUAUAUAUAUAUAUAUAUAUAGUACAAAUUUACUGAAAACAAAAGACGAAGACUGGUGUAGGAACAACAAGCAAGCGUAUUAGUUUAACGCUCGGGAAAAAUGGAAAUAUACUAAGAAAAAGUUGGAAAUGCGUCCGAAUUUUCUUCUAAAUACACACACACACACACACACACACACAUAUAUAUAUAUAUAUAUAUAUAUAUAUAUAUAUAUAUAUAUAUAUAUCUUUCACUUGUUUCAGUCAUUUGACUGUGGCCAUGCUGGAGCACCGCCUUUAGUCGAGCAAAUCGACCCCCAGGACAUAUUCUUUGUAAGCCUCGUACUUACUCUAUCGGUCUACUUUGCCAAACCGCUAAGUUACGGGGACGUAAAUACACCAGCAUCGGUUGUCAAGCGACGUUGGGGGGACAAACACAGACACACAAACAUAUACACACAUACAUACAUAUAUAUAUAUAUAUAUAUAUAUAUAUACGACGGGCCUCUUUCAGUUUCCGUCUACCAAAUCCAGUCACAAGGCUUUGGUCGGCCCGAGGCUAUAGUAGAAGACACUUGCCCAAGGUGCCACGCAGUGGGACUGAACCCGGAACCAUGUGGUUGGUAAACAAGCUACUUACCACACAGCCACUCCUACGCCUUAUCUACUUAUUAUUCUCAUCAAUUUUCAAUCCAACUUGUGUUUCUGCAGGAUAAAUUUUUUUUUGUCCUUUGACGUAGCAUUUCAGUACAUUUAGUGGGUUCAAACUUAAAUUAGUAACGAAAAUCUGGAAACAAUCCCUGAAAAAAUUCUUAAAUUAUUUAAAAGUCUGGGCCUGUCUAUUUCCAUUGGAAAAUAACAGUAAGGUUAAGUUUCUAGAUGUUAAUUUGAAUUUGGGCACGGGUACACCAACCUUACCACAAAACCAAUGAAAGUGCGUAAGUAAAAUUUCAAAUCAGCCUUAAAAAUAUUACUGGUUCUAGCAUUGAAAAUAGUUGUCUUUGUAUAUCUGAACUAUCUGCCAACGAAGAGAUAAGUGGAAGAUACUUAGCUAUGGUGCCACACGAUGGGACGUUGCAAAGCGAGCAUCUAAACCAGGCAACCAUACCAACAUAAUUUAUUCAACUUAUUUAUGAACGCAGUGUAUUAUAAAUUCUCUAAGUAUAGCGCAAAAUACCCUUUAGUAUUAAGAUGGAAAGUUUAAAUUCAGAUCAGGGCAAAGUUGGUAUCAAACCUAUCAUUUGAUAACAAUCUACCGCAGACCACUUACUGCUUUAAACUGAUCUAAACUAAUCUUAAUUAAAAUCUUCCUCUAAAAUUUCUUGUUGAUUUAUAAUUCAACUAAAAGGUUUCAUUAUCUAAAUUUUUCAUUAUUUUCAAAAAUUAUUGAAACAAAUAAUGUGUAUUUUAGCAAAAAUAUGAUAGCAAAAGUUUAAAAAUGACUAAGGGAUUUAAUUAAAUUUCCCAAUAUUUUCAAUAUUAAUUGUAAAAAUUAUUGAAACAAAUAAUGUGUAUUUUAACAAAAAUAUGAUAGCAAAAGUUUAAAAAUGACUAAGGGAUUUAAUUAAAUUUCCCAAUAUUUUCAAUAUUAAUUGUAAAAAUUAUUGAAAGAAAUAAUUGUGUAUUUUAACAAAAAUAUGAUAGCAAAAGUUUAAAAAUGUCUAAGGGAUUUAACUAAAUUUCCCAAUAUUUUCAAUAUUAAUUGUAAUAAAGGCGUAUUUCAACAAAAGUUUGGUAAGAAAAGUUUACCUUAUUUGCACCUGUGUUUAGCGUAAAAAAAGAUUACACGCCUGGAAAUGAUCUUUAACAUUAUUAAUAACCCAUUAAAUCAGACUAUUGACAGAUUAAUCGAUGUCACUUUCAAUGUACAGGAUCGAAUUAUCAUAAAUGCAAAUUUGCGAAUAAUGAAUUUUAUCAAAAUCUUACCAUCUCAACAUUUAGCAAAAAUUUUGUCAAAUUUAUCUUCGUAUUCCUCCGAACUUUGCUAACAGUUAAUCUAUUAUUUUACGACCAGAGAACCCGUAUUCGCCCAUGGCCAGCCAGAAGCAGAAAUUUACCCAGGAUUUGAUGAUCAUUCACAUCAUCAUAAGAAUAUAAAAAGGUAGAAU
rnacentral:lncRNA from 1 species